rnacentral:lncRNA from 1 species
CUGGUGGUGGUGGUGGUGGUGUUGGUGGAAGGCUGGAAACAUGUGGCGGCGGAGUAGGGACGGUGGUGGGUCCAGAGGCCGAAGAGGUAGAAGAGGGAGCAGAGGACGAUGGAGAAAGUGAUGAAGUAAAAAUUGGUGAAUGGUAAUAAGGUCUUAUUGUAUUGUCUUUUGGAAGUGAAGUUGUGGAAUAAGCUUUUGAAGUUAUUAGUAUUGUUGGCCAUUUUUGUUCUAUGCUUUUCUUCACUAACACUAGUUCACUUCUACUACAGUUCUACUAGUCUACUAGAGAGAGAGAGAGAGAGAGAGAGA